rnacentral:rRNA from 1 species
CAGGCGGUUGGAAAANUNUGAUUUGAAAGCCCACNGCUUAACCGUNGAAGGUCAUUGGAAACUNUCCAACUUGAAUGCAGAAGAGGUAAGUGGAAUUCCAUGUGUAGCGGUGAAUGCGUAGAUAUAUGGAGGAACACCAGUGGCGAAGGCGACUUACUGGUCUGUGAUUGACACUGAGGCUCGAAAGCGUGGGUAGCGAACAGGAUUAGAUACCCUGGUAGUCCACGCCGUAAACGAUGAGUGCUAAGUGUUGGAGGGUUUCCGCCCUUCAGUGCUGGAGUUAACGCAUUAAGCACUCCGCCUGGGGAGUACGGCCGCAAGGCUGAAACUCAAAGGAAUUGACGGGGACCCGCACAAGCGGU